GCUGGCAGGCCGCGCCCCACUGUCCGCGCUGGACGGUAACCGGAGGACCUAGUUCCGCAUCUUAAGUUAAAAAGCAAGAAAAAAGAGUUAAGAAAGAGUCACUUUUUUAAAGCGCCCGUGCUGCAGCAAGCUGCGGGCAGCCCCGCAGGAGUAGAUCCCGCGGGGCGGAGUGGACGCUGGGGGGGCGGCGCGGUCCCAGCCCCUCCUCCGCUCCCGCGGCGCGCAGCCGGGCGGCGUGCCAGGCGGCUGCGUGCCCGGACGGGCGGCAUCCGGUCUCCGAGUACCGACUCGCGAGGCGGCGGCCUCUGUCCCGAGAGCUCAGCGGUCCGCUCCGCCCCUCCGGAAGACUUACCGCGGAAGAAUGAGGACUCCAAAGAUUUAGUAAUGUGCACCCCACAUCUGCUUGCAUCUCUGGCCAGUCGAAAGCUGGUAAGGGAAACUCACCGUUGUCCCUCGUCAACCUCGUCAGGUCUGUUUUACUGUGCGGGUCAAAAGGCAAGGCGGAAAGAAGGACUGGUGCCUGAGGAAGGCUUCCAGGAGGAACAGAGAGGCCAGGGGCUCCGGCAGCGACUCUGCAGCUACCAUUCCUGCUAUCAGCAAAGACUGAAGAGGGGUGAUGGGAGAGAGGCCCGCGGCCGCCACAGAGCAAGGAAACCAGAAGGAUGGUGGGAGGGGAGGUGUAGAAAACACAG
rnacentral:lncRNA from 1 species